rnacentral:rRNA from 1 species
AGUCGAACGAGAAUCUACUGAAAGAGUUUUCGGACAAUGGAUGUAGAGGAAAGUGGCGGACGGGUGAGUAACGCGUGAGGAACCUGCCUUGAAGAGGGGGACAACAGUUGGAAACGACUGCUAAUACCGCAUGACGCAUAGAGGUCGCAUGAUCUAUAUGCCAAAGAUUUAUCGCUUCAAGAUGGCCUCGCGUCUGAUUAGCUGGUUGGCGGGGUAACGGCCCACCAAGGCGACGAUCAGUAGCCGGACUGAGAGGUUGAACGGCCACAUUGGGACUGAGAUACGGCCCAGACUCCUACGGGAGGCAGCAGUGGGGAAUAUUGGGCAAUGGGCGCAAGCCUGACCCAGCAACGCCGCGUGAAGGAAGAAGGCUUUCGGGUUGUAAACUUCUUUUAAGAGGGAAGAGCAGAAGACGGUACCUCUAGAAUAAGCCACGGCUAACUACGUGCCAGCAGCCGCGGUAAUACGUAGGUGGCAAGCGUUGUCCGGAUUUACUGGGUGUAAAGGGCGUGCAGCCGGGUCUGCAAGUCAGAUGUGAAAUCCAUGGGCUCAACCCAUGAACUGCAUUUGAAACUGUGGAUCUUGAGUGUCGGAGGGGCAAUCGGAAUUCCUAGUGUAGCGGUGAAAUGCGUAGAUAUUAGGAGGAACACCAGUGGCGAAGGCGGAUUGCUGGACGAUAACUGACGGUGAGGCGCGAAAGUGUGGGGAGCAAACAGGAUUAGAUACCCUGGUAGUCCACACUGUAAACGAUGAAUACUAGGUGUGCGGGGACUGACCCCCUGCGUGCCGCAGUAAACACAAUAAGUAUUCCACCUGGGGAGUACGAUCGCA